GAUGAAGAACGUAGCGAAAUGCGAUACGUAAUGUGAAUUGCAGAAUUCAGUGAAUCAUCGAGUCUUUGAACGCACAUUGCGCCCUCUGGUAUUCCGGGGGGCAUGCCUGUUCGAGCGUCAUUGCAACCCCUCAAGCACAGCUUGUGUGUUGGGCUCUCGUCCCCUGUGGACGGGCCUGAAAUGCAGUGGCAGCACCGAGAUACCGGUGUCUGAGUGUAUGGGCAUUGAUCAUCACUCGAUAGACCCGAUCGGCGCUGACCGUCAAACCACGAUUCCUCGGAAUCAUCCAGUUUUGACCUCGGAUCAGGUAGGAAUACCCGCUGAACUUAAGCAUAUCAAUAAGCGGAGGA
rnacentral:misc_RNA from 1 species